rnacentral:lncRNA from 1 species
UUUUUUUUUUUUUUUCGCUAAAUACAUGCUACAGUUCUAUAUAUUCCACCACUGGAUAAAUCUACAGAUGCAGACCCACAGAUACAGACAGCCAAUUGCAAAGUUAUACGUGAACUUUCACCUUUGUGAAUGGUCAGCGCCCCUAAACCUCAGUGAUGUUCAAGCAUCAAUUCUGUGCAUGUGUGUUUGUUUUAAGGAAUGUCGUGUUUGGAGUUCCCAUCAUGGCUCAGGAGAAACAAAUCUGACGACUAUCCAUGAGGAUGCAGGUUCAAUCCCUGACCUCACUCAGUGGGCUAAGGAUCCGGCCUUGCCGUGAACUGUGGUGUAGGUCCAGAUGCAGCUCAGAUCUGGUGUUGCUGUGGUUGUGGUGUAGGCUGGCAGCUGUAGCUCUGAGUAGACUCCUAGCCUGGGAACUUCCAUAAGCCGUUGGUUGGGCCCUAAAAAAGACAAAAAAAAAAAAAAAGUCAUGUUUGAGGCAAAUGGUAUGUGUCAAUACUGGCUCAAAUCCACCAUGGACCUAAAACAGAAAGUCUAUACACAGGACUUACUGGGAAAGAAGUAGGCAUGGUAUCACACCCUGUUAAUUCACACCUGGGUAACACAUUUAGUUUACAGCACACAUAAACAUGCCUUACCUGAUGAUGUUCUCACAGCCCUCUGUGCAAUGAUAUUUUUCUUAUCCCUAUUAUGCAGAUCAGAAAAACGGAUAUCAGAGGAAGUGUGACGUGGUACCCGAGGUUACAUUACUAGCAAGUCUGGCGUUGGGACCUCAGCCUCAGGAACCCUCUCCCAUGCUUCCUCCUCUAAAUCAACCUACUUCUUGACCAGAUCUUCUUUCUUUCCUUAAAUGAAUCACCUGUUCCCCUUGUCAGGGAAAUAGAAGUCAUUCUCAUGCCUGAGCUGGCAAAGAAUCAAGGGCAUCUUAUAAACUGUUUUACAGUUUGUAAAGUGAAGUUGUAGAGAUACUGCGACCACCACCAAUGAAGGACCAUGGCUUAAAUUUAUGAUCCCUUCAUUUUUGUUAGGGUAAAUCAAGAGACACUGGCAAGCAUUGAAGAAUGAGAUAUAAUAUCAAGAGAGAGAUGGCAGCGAGUUUGCCUUCCCAUGGGCAUGAUACGGUUUUUCACAUGUAAAUUCAAGUGCUAACCAAAAAUAACUGGCUGUUGGAAUGUCAUAUAGGAUAAGCGUGCCAAUAUCCCCAGCCUAUCAUCUGAGAUGUGCGUCCCCAAAGAGUGUCAGUUUCCUGAACCGAAAGAAGUGAUCAGGAAAGUUUAGUCAUGUUCCUUGGCCGCGGUCCUCUGCUUUAGGAGAAUUUGGUGCUUUCUGUGUUUCUGGGAGAAUUAAGUUGAUACUGGCAUUCGGAUAAUUUGCUUUUGGAAGAGUUUCCACAGAAAGGUUGUCCGUAGGUGAAACAAUAUUUCCAUCAUUCCUACAGCAUGAUUCUUUUAAGCAUCUCAGAGCAAGGCAGUUGCUCUCAGAUCCUUGCUAUUCCUCAAACUCAUUCUCAUCAUAUACUUAACAUGCAAGGCAAAAAUUUUCUCAUACAAUGUAGUAAAUCUUUCUUAUAAAGGAAAACCAAACACACAAAGCACUUUUUAAAAGAUUAAUGUUCCUGUGCUUUUAUUGUCACAAACCACUGUCUGCUGAGUUUUUUUUUUUAAUGUCUAAUCUUGCUAAGCAUAACAGGAAUAAGCAACAGCACAGUUUAAAAUUAAAAUUCGUGUCUUUAUCAAUCUACAAAUUUUCUAUCAUCUACCUGGUUGGGAUAGUUCUCAGAACUUCUUUUCAUCGUUGGAUACAGUGGCCACUAGCCAUGUAGGGCUAUUUAAAUUGAAAUAUAAAGUAAUUAAAGUGGAGUUCCCAUUGUGGCUCAGCAGAAACAAACCUCACUAGUAUCCAUGAGGACGCAGGUUCAAUCCCUGACCUCACUCAGUGGGUUAAGGAUCCGUCCUUGCCGUGAGCUGUGGUGUAGGUCACAGACAUGGCUCGGAUCUGGCAUUGCUGUGGCUGUGGCGUAGGCUGGCAGCUGUAGCUCUGAUUCAACCCCUAGCCUGAGAACCUCCAUAUGCCGCAGGCGUGGCCCUAAAAGACAAAAAUAAAUAAAUAAAAUAAAGUGAAAUAAGAGCUAAAAUUCACUUUCUUAGUUAUAUUUGCAACAUUUUUAAUACUCAAAAUGUUCAGCCAGAUUUGGCUGGUGGCAAAGUAUCAGGCAGUACAGACAUAGAAAGUUUGGUCUUUGCAGAAAGUUCUAUGGACAGGUCUAUGCAUGCUUCAAAGAUCUGUUCCUGUUGGAUUCUGUGCCAUCCUGGUCACAUGGAGGGGCUGGUGGGAGAAUCCAAUUUUGCACCACCUGAAACAAAGCUGGCAUCAGCUGGUCAGGGCUGGUAUAUGCCAUGAUCUCCUUCUGUGGACACCAGUAAGGUGACUUUGCAACUCACCUCUGUCUGUCUAACAAAAACGUCUUGAGGUCAAGAUCAUAUUGCUGGUUUGCUCUUCACCUUCUCAAUAACAAAGGCCCUCCAGGGAGUUCCCGUUGUAGCUCAGCAGUAUGGAACCCAACUAGUAUCCAUGAGGACACAGGUUCAAUCUCUGGCCUCACUCAGUGGGUUAAGGAUCUGGUGUUGCUUUGAGCUGUGGUGUAGGUCUCAUAUGCAGCAGCUCAGAUCCCAUGUUCCUAUGGCUGUGGCAUAGGCCAGAAGCUACAGUUCCAAUUUGACCC